rnacentral:lncRNA from 1 species
UGCUUCUCCCUCUGCCUGUGUCUCUGCCUCUCUUUCUCUCUGCAUCUCUAGGAAUAAAUAAAUAAAUAAAUCUUAAAAAAAAAAAAGAUUACUGUUCAGAACAAAGUAUUUCCAUAGAUGUCAAUGGGAAGAAUAGGUUACCGAGAAGACUAUAGGAGAGGGAACAGAAUGGAACCAGUUGUUUUUCUGACUUAUAUUCAAUUUUUUAGGAAUCUCAAAAUCAAGCAAAUGGGUUCCACCACCUGGCCACUUUUUGGAAGACAAUACUCUGGUCCCUGAGGCAAAAGCUGAAUCCUCUGAAUCAGAAUACUUCUCCUGCUAUUCCUCCUUGAGUUAUCUGCUUUCUGCUGGAAUCUCAAAAUCAAGCAAAUGGGAUCCACCACCUGGCCACUUUUUGGAAGACAAUACUCUGGUCCCUGAGGCAAAAGCUGAAUCCUCUGAAUCAGAAUACUUCUCCUGCUAUUCCUCCUUGAGUCAUCUGUCUUCUGCUGGUAAGGGGAAAGGAAAAGCCUGCAAAGUCUGGGCAGAUUAGGGCAGUGGGAGCCUGAACAGACUGGUAGACAUCCAGCUCAGCAUCUCUCAGUGAGUGGGAGAAAGGUACACAUCACACCCAUUUAUAAUGUUAUCCUCAGCUCUUAUUUGGGGAUCUGAGUCUCUUGUUCUUGUAUCACUAGGAACUGAAUACAAACAGUUUUCAUGGGGCAGCCCAGGUGGCUCAGCAGAUUAGGGCCUCAUUCAGCCUGGGGCCUGAUCCAGGAGACCUGGGAUCCAGUGCCAUGUCGGGCUCCCUGCAUGGAGCCUGCUUCUCCCUCUGCCUGUCUCUCUCUCUCUCUCUCUCUCUCUCUCUGUCAUGAAUAAAUAAGUAAAUAAUCUAAAAAAACA